rnacentral:misc_RNA from 1 species
GCGAGACGAGCAAUGCCUAAUGCUUCCUCACCAGAAGAAGCAAAUCAAGUAAUGCGUGGAAAUUGGCUUCAAGCAAUUCAACAACAUCAUCUACAGCAUUCUGGAAAUUCCAUGAUAAGUGACAUUCUAGAUAUUGGAUGCUCUGUAGGUGUCACCACAAGAUUUCUUGCUGACAACUUUCCUUUGGCAAAAGUCACUGGGCUGAUCUGUCUCCUUACUUUCUUUCCGUAGCUCAAUUCAAGGAAAAGAAGAGAGGCCCAAGAAAGAAUCCGAUCAACUGGAUACAUGCUAAUGGGGAAGACACAGGCCUGCCCUCCAAAUCAUAUGACCUCGUUUCUAUUGCAUAUGUGCUCCAUGAAUGCCCUGAAAGAGCAAUAGUUAAUAUACUGAGGGAAGCAUUUCGGCUACUUCGACCUGGAGGCAUGCUAGCUUUGACAGAUCAGGCGCCUGAAUCGAAGAUCCUUCAGGAAUUGCCUCCAGUUCUGUUCACAUUAUUGAAGAGCACUGAGCCAUUUUUAGAUGAAUACUAUUUGACUGAUCUAGAAGGAAGACUGAGGGAAGCAGGAUUUGUGAAUAUACAAUCAGUUCUUACUAGUCCAAGGC